GGUUUAUAUAUAGGUUCAUAUUGUAUUCAUUUCAACUAAUUCACAAUCAAUGCAAUAUACAUUUUCUUCUCUCAAUCUGCUCUCAAGUUCAAGCUUUCAAGCUCAAGUUGAAGAUCAUCAAUGGUGUUGAAUCCAUGGUGAUAAUCUCUUCAUGGUAUCAGAGCCCUGGUGUCUAAUUGUUCCUGUUUCGAAGUCGAAUUUUGAGCCAUUUUUUGUUGUUGUUAUCAAUUGAUUCGAUUGAUUGAUUGAGAGAGGUUGUGUUGUGAAUUCUUUUGAUUUCUUCUUCUUCUUCUUUCUUUC
rnacentral:misc_RNA from 1 species